rnacentral:tRNA from 1 species
GGGCCGGUAGCUCAGUUGGUAGAGCGCUGCAUUCGCAUUGCAGAGGUAGAGAGUUCGAUCCUCUUCCGGUCCACCA